rnacentral:rRNA from 1 species
UACGUAGGGUGCGAGCGUUGUCCGGAAUUAUUGGGCGUAAAGGGCUCGUAGGCGGUCUGUCGCGUCGGGAGUGAAAACUCAGGGCUUAACCCUGAGCCUGCUUCCGAUACGGGCAGACUAGAGGUAUGCAGGGGAGAACGGAAUUCCUGGUGUAGCGGUGAAAUGCGCAGAUAUCAGGAGGAACACCGGUGGCGAAGGCGGUUCUCUGGGCAUUACCUGACGCUGAGGAGCGAAAGCGGUGGGAGAAACAGGAUUAGAACCGUAC